GGAAAGGCGCGCGAUACAGGGUGACAGCCCCGUACACAAAAAUGCACAUGCUGUGAGCUCGAUGAGUAGGGCGGGACACGUGGUAUCCUGUCUGAAUAUGGGGGGACCAUCCUCCAAGGCUAAAUACUCCUGACUGACCGAUAGUGAACCAGUACCGUGAGGGAAAGGCGAAAAGAACCCCGGCGAGGGGAGUGAAAAAGAACCUGAAACCGUGUACGUACAAGCAGUGGGAGCACGCUUAGGCGUGUGACUGCGUACCUUUUGUAUAAUGGGUCAGCGACUUAUAUUCUGUAGCAAGGUUAACCGAAUAGGGGAGCCGAAGGGAAACCGAGUCUUAACUGGGCGUUAAGUUGCAGGGUAUAGACCCGAAACCCGGUGAUCUAGCCAUGGGCAGGUUGAAGGUUGGGUAACACUAACUGGAGGACCGAACCGACUAAUGUUGAAAAAUUAGCGGAUGACUUGUGGCUGGGGGUGAAAGGCCAAUCAAACCGGGAGAUAGCUGGUUCUCCCCGAAAGCUAUUUAGGUAGCGCCUCGUGAAUUCAUCUCCGGGGGUAGAGCACUGUUUCGGCAAGGGGGUCAUCCCGACUUACCAACCCGAUGCAAACUGCGAAUACCGGAGAAUGUUAUCACGGGAGACACACGGCGGGUGCUAACGUCCGUCGUGAAGAGGGAAACAACCCAGACCGCCAGCUAAGGUCCCAAAGUCAUGGUUAAGUGGGAAACGAUGUGGGAAGGCCCAGACAGCCAGGAUGUUGGCUUAGAAGCAGCCAUCAUUUAAAGAAAGCGUAAUAGCUCACUGGUCGAGUCGGCCUGCGCGGAAGAUGUAACGGGGCUAAACCAUGCACCGAAGCUGCGGCAGCGACGCUGAUGCGUUGUUGGGUAGGGGAGCGUUCUGUAAGCCUGCGAAGGUGUGCUGUGAGGCAUGCUGGAGGUAUCAGAAGUGCGAAUGCUGACAUAAGUAACGAUAAAGCGGGUGAAAAGCCCGCUCGCCGGAAGACCAAGGGUUCCUGUCCAACGUUAAUCGGGGCAGGGUGAGUCGACCCCUAAGGCGAGGCCGAAAGGCGUAGUCGAUGGGAAACAGGUUAAUAUUCCUGUACUUGGUGUUACUGCGAAGGGGGGACGGAGAAGGCUAUGUUGGCCGGGCGACGGUUGUCCCGGUUUAAGCGUGUAGGCUGGUUUUCCAGGCAAAUCCGGAAAAUCAAGGCUGAGGCGUGAUGACGAGGCACUGCGGUGCUGAAGCAACAAAUGCCCUGCUUCCAGGAAAAGCCUCUAAGCAUCAGGUAACAUCAAAUCGUACCCCAAACCGACACAGGUGGUCAGGUAGAGAAUACCAAGGCGCUUGAGAGAACUCGGGUGAAGGAACUAGGCAAAAUGGUGCCGUAACUUCGGGAGAAGGCACGCUGAUAUGUAGGUGAAGUCCCUCGCGGAUGGAGCUGAAAUCAGUCGAAGAUACCAGCUGGCUGCAACUGUUUAUUAAAAACACAGCACUGUGCAAACACGAAAGUGGACGUAUACGGUGUGA
rnacentral:rRNA from 1 species